rnacentral:rRNA from 1 species
ACGGGUAACCUGCCUGUAAGACUGGGAUAACUCCGGGAAACCGGGGCUAAUACCGGAUGCUUGUUUGAACCGCAUGGUUCAAACAUAAAAGGUGGCUUCGGCUACCACUUACAGAUGGACCCGCGGCGCAUUAGCUAGUUGGUGAGGUAACGGCUCACCAAGGCAACGAUGCGUAGCCGACCUGAGAGGGUGAUCGGCCACACUGGGACUGAGACACGGCCCAGACUCCUACGGGAGGCAGCAGUAGGGAAUCUUCCGCAAUGGACGAAAGUCUGACGGAGCAACGCCGCGUGAGUGAUGAAGGUUUUCGGAUCGUAAAGCUCUGUUGUUAGGGAAGAACAAGUACCGUUCGAAUAGGGCGGUACCUUGACGGUACCUAACCAGAAAGCCACGGCUAACUACGUGCCAGCAGCCGCGGUAAUACGUAGGUGGCAAGCGUUGUCCGGAAUUAUUGGGCGUAAAGGGCUCGCAGGCGGUUCCUUAAGUCUGAUGUGAAAGCCCCCGGCUCAACCGGGGAGGGUCAUUGGAAACUGGGGAACUUGAGUGCAGAAGAGGAGAGUGGAAUUCCACGUGUAGCGGUGAAAUGCGUAGAGAUGUGGA